GAUGAACGCUGGCGGCGUGCCUAAUACAUGCAAGUCGAGCGAACAGAUAAGGAGCUUGCUCCUUUGACGUUAGCGGCGGACGGGUGGGUAACACGUGGGUAACCUACCUAUAAGACUGGGAUAACUUCGGGAAACCGGAGCUAAUACCGGAUAACAUUUGGAACCGCAUGGUUCUAAAGUGAAAGAUGGUUUUGCUAUCACUUAUAGAUGGGCCCGCGCCGUAUUAGCUAGUUGGUAAGGUAACGGCUUACCAAGGCGACGAUACGUAGCCGACCUGAGAGGGUGAUCGGCCACACUGGAACUGAGACACGGUCCAGACUCCUACGGGAGGCAGCAGUAGGGAAUCUUCCGCAAAGGGCGAAAGCCUGACGGAGCAACGCCGCGUGAGUGAUGAAGGGUUUCGGCUCGUAAAACUCUGUUAUUAGGGAAGAACAAAUGUGUAAGUAACUGUGCACGUCUUGACGGUACCUAAUCAGAAAGCCACGGCUAACUACGUG
rnacentral:rRNA from 1 species